AACAGGAUUAGAUACCCUGGUAGUCCACGCUGUAAACGAUGUCGACUUGGAGGUUGUUCCCUUGAGGAGUGGCUUCCGGAGCUAACGCGUUAAGUCGACCGCCUGGGGAGUACGGCCGCAAGGUUAAAACUCAAAUGAAUUGACGGGGGCCCGCACAAGCGGUGGAGCAUGUGGUUUAAUUCGAUGCAACGCGAAGAACCUUACCUACUCUUGACAUCCAGAGAACUUAGCAGAGAUGCUUUGGUGCCUUCGGGAACUCUGAGACAGGUGCUGCAUGGCUGUCGUCAGCUCGUGUUGUGAAAUGUUGGGUUAAGUCCCGCAACGAGCGCAACCCUUAUCCUUUGUUGCCAGCGGUCCGGCCGGGAACUCAAAGGAGACUGCCAGUGAUAAACUGGAGGAAGGUGGGGAUGACGUCAAGUCAUCAUGGCCCUCACGAGUAGGGCUACGCACGUGCUACAAUGGCGCAUACAAAGAGAAGCGACCUCGUGAGAGCAAGCGGACCUCAUAAAGUGCGUCGUAGUCCGGAUUGGAGUCUGCAACUCGACUCCAUGAAGUCGGAAUCGCUAGUAAUCGUGGAUCAGAAUGCCACGGUGAAUACGUUCCCGGGCCUUGUACACACCGCCCGUCACACCAUGGGAGUGGGUUGCAAAAGAAGUAGGUAGCUUAACCUUCGGGAGGGCGCUUACCACUUUGUGAUUCAUGACUGGGGUGAAGUCGUAACAAGGUAACC
rnacentral:rRNA from 1 species